UGAACUUGUCCAAGGUCUGUGUCCCAAGAAUGUCCCUGUAAAUUUGAAGACUCUAACAAUGAUAGGACUGGAAUUAAGCUGAGCACAGACAGAUGGCGCAGUCGUCGC